CGGGUUAUCAAGAUCAACAGGUUCAAUCUCCACAUCCUUAUCAUUGCUAGGUUGAGCAUCAUCAUGAACAUCACUAUUGGUAUUAUCAUUAGGCUCAUGUUCAUCACCAGAUUGUGUUUCGUCAUCAGAGACAGAGACAUCGUUUGGACUCUCAGGUGUAACAGCAACAGGGUUGCUAGCGUGCAAGUUCCUAUCAUCUUUCUUCUUCUUCCUAGGAUGACUAGGUGCAUCAAUGCUAACUCCUUGAGAAUCUUGCUCAAUUCUUUUAGGAUGACCCUCAGGAUACAAAGGUUCUUGAGUCAUUCUACCGCCUCUAGUGACGACUCUAACAGAAUUGUCAUUCAACUCAUUGAGUAAGC
rnacentral:lncRNA from 1 species